AAUUAUUAGUGUUAAUUGUAGCGCAUCUCAAUUAAAUAUUGCAACCUAUUUUAUUAAAAAU
rnacentral:sRNA from 1 species